AACACAGGUUGAACACUGGGCUUGCAAGUGAGUUCCUUCUGUCAGCAGAGCCUCUGCCGCCACCUACUGAUAGAAAGGCAGCUCUGAGCAAAGGGGAUAAGGCAAGGUUAAGGGCCUUGAAUUGAAAACUAAUUAAGAGCAAGUGUGCUGCUCUGUGGACUGUUUCCACUUCAUGUACUUUAUUGUAGCCUUUCAGUGCUGUGUGUGCAAGUUCGGUGGGGGGUAUGUUCUUCAGAUGUCAAAGGCAGCUCACUCUGACAGGCCCAGCAUCUACCACCUUUCAAGUCAGACUGGAGGCUACAAUCACAGCGCGGUGUAAGAAUGAAGGUACUAAUCUUCCUCAGAUCCAAGCAUGCCCUUCUCAUCCAUCAAGGCUGAUUUCCCUCGAGUCUCUUUGAAAGGGCCCCUUGGCAGUUUGAAGAUUCAACACAGAAAACGCUGCUUCUGCUUAGGCAGCAACUUGACCAAAACAUCAACAAAUAUACAGUGGAAAAAGUCUUUUCUUCACUUUCAAUCUUUUACAAAUUCUCACAGUCACUGAACUUCCAGGUAUUGUGGUCUUUGAAGUAACUCCCAAG
rnacentral:lncRNA from 1 species